CAGGGUGUUGCGUGUUACUUGUGUAUUAUGACAUCAUCAGUAACACGAAUACGUCCUG
rnacentral:pre_miRNA from 1 species